GAACAAAUAUUUCCACACUGAAGGAGUAUAUUCAGGUGGUGGAUGAGAGGUUGGGUGACGUGUUCAUAGGCACGUAUGUGGGUCCAGCUGCUGUCCUAAAUCCGAGGUAUGCAUAUACGAUGGAUCCAACUCAACAAAUGUUUCGUGGUCUCAAGGAUACAUUUCAGCGCAUGACGGAUCUCCAGAGCGCCGUGCAUGCAUUGCAGGAGUUUGACGUGUUUCGACAGAAGGUUGGCGAGUAUGGCAGUGAAAUGGCAAUGCGGAUGGCGAUGGACCCAAAGACAUCCCCAUCGUCCUGGUGGAUGAUGUUCGGAUCAAGCACUCCAAAGCUGCAGUACCUUGCCAUGAG